rnacentral:rRNA from 1 species
CCCCUAGAUGUUCUGGGCCGCACGCGCGCUACACUGAACAGUUCAACAAGUCUUAACCUUGGCCGAUAGGUCUGGGUAAUCUUUGAACGCUGUUCGUGAUUGGGAUAGACCUUUGCAAUUAUGGGUCUUCAACGAGGAAUUCCUAGUAGACGUAGUUCAUCAGACUGCAUCGAUUACGUCCCUGCCCUUUGUACACACCGCCCGUCGCUCCUACCGAUUGGAUGAUCCGGUGAGCUAUUCGGACCUUCGCUUCGUCGAUUUUCGGCUUUGUGAGGGAAAGUCUCGCGAACCUUAUCAUCUAGAGGAAGGAGAAGUCGUAACA